UUUUAUAAGCACUCUAUCUUCCUCCCUGGAGGGUGUAUAAACAGCAGAUAAAAUAAAUCACCUUUUGUCCUUGACCUACGCAAAGUAACGCUUACACUGGAACCUAGGCUAAGUUCCUCUGCCAAGCUUCCUUUUCUGGCUAUUUAAAAGGCAGGCAGCUUUUCAACUAUAGAAAUAUGUCAAUUUUCCUCUGUCUUUCCUCUUGUCCCAAAUGUUCUUCUACAGACAAAAUUGGGCUAACUGGAACACACUAAAGGAAGGCUGCUAGAUGGUGGGUCACUGGGCUAAUGCUCUUGGGUAAGACCCAAGUGCAGCUCCAUUCUUCCUUUCUUAUUUCUGUCUCCAUCUCUUCCCAUGUCCCAGAAGAAUGAACAGACUGUUUACUCCACAAGCCUACAAGUAGACACCCCCUUGAUUCUCAGGGUUAGUAUGACUCAGUGGAAACAUGUUUGAAAUGAUCAACAUGUUACUUCUGGGUCGCCGUGAGUUGGAAUCAACCUGAAGGCAGCUAACAACAAGCAUCCAGAAGAUGUUAUAACUCACCAAUUUCCAGCGUAAUAUCUUGAUCCACUCAUCAGCUUCUACUCCUGUCUUUGCACAGAGAUAAAAUGUCCUGAAUGGAAAUACUAAGCUGGAAAAAAGGCUUGAAUUGAAAUUGAGAAGGAUUUCUAUCUACAAAAGCCUAAGCACCAAAUUUUGCUUAUACCAGUAAUUACUAAAUAGAUAAGAGACAUGAAGCUUGAAGCUGGAGUAGCCAUCUUAGACCUUGAGUAGCAAGCAUGAGGAAAAGACCAAGAGAAUGUAGAGAUACUGGACCUGAGCUUGUCAAGGUGGCUGCCUGCCUCCAGAUUUGCUGUGUUUAUGAGAAAAAUAUACUCUUGUUAGCUCAUAUGGCACUUCUAUGCAGAUUUUCUUAGCUGUCAUAAUAUUGUAGUUCUUAGGAGACUCAUACUCAAAUAUUUAGAGAUACAGUGCCAUGAUGUCAAUAAUUUACUUUCAAUUGGUUCAGAGAAAAAAAAGUGGAAAGAUAGAGAUAAAAGUAAAUAUGGCUGUAUAGUAGCAAUUGAUGCAUCUAGAUGAAGGGUAUUUGGGUAUAUAAGUCUUUCAACUUUUUAUAUGCUUGAAACACUUUAAAAUAAAAAUUGGUAGAAAAAAAUCCACUCCUUCUUCAAGACAUUUUACUUCUCCCAGUUAGAAAAUUGUCAUAAUAUACGGAUACUGUUAGAACAAAACACUGCCAGAAAUGGUCAUAAACAUACAAAUCAUUCAUAUCUGGAGUCAACAAAGUCAUAAUUAAAAUUGAAGAAAAAACUCAAAAGAAUAAAGCUGUCUGAGAUGUGAAUGGUAUCCUCUUAUGUGUGUCAUACGUGUGCAUUGUACAAACUAGACAGCUGGACCCAGCAGGCUCGCCUACUUGUUUAAACUACUUUAAAUGAGGUAUUACUGCACAUUCAGCCAGAAGCACUCCUAACUGAUAAAUGUCUCAUGUGAUGGUUUAAUCCACAUCCCUCAGAUCAAAGCAUUUCACUACAUUAAGACGUAGUUUCUUAUUCCUUAGCUAAAAUAAGUAAUUGGCAAGAACACUUUUAAAAACAUUUU